GCAGUGUUGGAAGCUCCGGUUCUCCCGGAAGUGGCCCAGGUCUCUCUGUCGGGGUCCCCUCCAUCUCGCUGCUGCUGAAGGCCGCGAGGGCGGCGGCGAUGGCGGAGGCGGCGCUGUUGCUGCUGCCUGAGGCGGCGGCGGAGCGGGACGCUAGGGAAAAGCUGGCUCUCUGGGAUCGGAGACCGGACACGACGGCGCCGCUGACCGACAGGCAGACGGACUCGGUAUUGGAGCUGAAGGCGGCGGCAGAGAACUUGCCGGUGCCAGCUGAGCUUCCAAUUGAAGACUUGUGCAGUUUAACAUCCCAGUCACUGCCCAUUGAACUGACUUCAGUAGUGCCUGAAUCUACAGAAGACAUUCUCUUGAAGGGCUUCACUUCCUUAGGAAUGGAAGAAGAAAGAAUUGAAACCGCACAGCAGUUUUUCUCAUGGUUUGCAAAGCUGCAAACUCAGAUGGAUCAAGAUGAAGGAACUAAAUAUAGACAGAUGAGGGAUUACUUGUCUGGGUUUCAGGAGCAGUGUGAUGCUAUAUUGAAUGAUGUAAACAGUGCUCUUCAGCAUCUGGAGUCUUUGCAGAAACAGUAUCUUUUUGUGUCCAAUAAGACAGGAACCCUACAUGAAGCCUGUGAACAGCUCCUAAAAGAACAGUCGGAACUUGUUGAUCUGGCUGAAAACAUUCAACAAAAGCUUUCCUAUUUUAACGAAUUGGAAACUAUUAACACAAAAUUGAAUUCCCCUACAUUGUCGGUGAAUAGUGACGGAUUUAUACCUAUGCUGGCCAAGUUAGAUGAUUGUAUAACAUAUAUCUCAUCUCAUCCUAAUUUUAAAGAUUAUCCCAUAUAUUUGCUGAAGUUUAAACAGUGUCUUUCUAAAGCUUUGCACCUCAUGAAGACAUAUACUGUGAACACACUACAGACCCUCACAAGUCAGUUACUGAAAAGGGAUCCUUCAUCUGUACCUAAUGCAGACAAUGCCUUCACAUUAUUUUAUGUGAAAUUUCGAGCUGCUGCCCCCAAAGUCAGAACUCUUAUUGAACAAAUAGAACUGCGGUCUGAAAAAAUACCUGAAUACCAACAACUGCUAAAUGAUAUCCACCAGUGUUACCUUGAUCAGCGGGAGCUCCUUUUGGGCCCUAGUAUUGCUUGCACUGUUGCAGAGUUAACCAGCCAAAAUAAUAGAGAUCACUGUGCCUUGGUUCGUAGUGGCUGUGCCUUCAUGGUUCAUGUCUGCCAGGAUGAACACCAACUUUACAAUGAAUUUUUCACAAAACCAACAUCAAAAUUAGAUGAGCUUUUGGAGAAACUGUGUGUGUCAUUGUAUGAUGUCUUCAGGCCAUUGAUCAUUCAUGUUAUUCACUUAGAGACUCUGUCGGAACUUUGUGGGAUUCUUAAAAAUGAGGUGCUUGAAGAUCAUGUGCAGAACAAUGCUGAGCAACUGGGGGCAUUUGCAGCUGGAGUCAAGCAGAUGUUAGAAGAUGUACAGGAGCGGCUCGUCUACCGAACCCACAUCUAUAUUCAGACGGACAUCACGGGCUAUAAACCAGCUCCUGGAGAUCUGGCAUAUCCCGAUAAGUUAGUCAUGAUGGAGCAGAUUGCACAGAGUUUGAAAGAUGAACAGAAGAAGGUACCUUCAGAAGCUUCAUUUUCAGAUGUUCACUUAGAAGAAGGAGAGUCUAACAGUCUGACAAAAUCUGGUUCAACAGAAUCCCUCAAUCCUAGACCACAGACCACAAUUUCUCCAGCAGAUCUUCAUGGAAUGUGGUAUCCUACGGUUCGAAGAACUCUUGUCUGUCUCUCCAAAUUAUACAGAUGCAUAGAUAGGGCAGUGUUCCAAGGAUUAUCACAGGAAGCAUUGUCUGCCUGCAUUCAGUCCUUACUUGGAGCGUCAGAGUCUAUCAGCAAAAACAAGACUCAGAUUGAUGGACAACUUUUCUUAAUUAAGCACCUUUUGAUACUUCGUGAACAAAUUGCUCCAUUUCACACUGAAUUCACCAUUAAGGAAAUUUCCCUGGACCUCAAGAAAACUAGAGAUGCAGCAUUUAAAAUCCUGAACCCUAUGACUGUCCCAAGAUUUUUUAGGCUGAAUAGCAACAAUGCCUUGAUAGAGUUCUUGUUGGAGGGUACUCCUGAGAUAAGAGAACAUUAUCUUGACUCUAAAAAAGACGUAGACCGUCAUCUGAAAUCGGCCUGUGAGCAGUUUAUUCAGCAGCAGACCAAGCUGUUUGUAGAACAGCUGGAGGAGUUCAUGACAAAGGUUUCAGCGUUAAAAACAAUGGCCAGUCAGGGAGGCCCCAAGUAUACUCUCUCACAGCAGCCUUGGGCACAACCAGCAAAGGUCAAUGACCUUGCGGCAACUGCAUAUAAGACAAUAAAAACAAAGCUGCCUGUGACAUUGAGAAGUAUGUCCUUGUACCUAUCCAAUAAAGAUACCGAGUUCAUCUUGUUUAAACCUGUGAGGAAUAAUAUUCAGCAAGUCUUCCAGAAGUUCCACGCUCUGUUAAAGGAAGAGUUCAGCCCUGAAGACAUCCAGAUCAUUGCCUGUCCAUCUAUGGAACAGUUAUAGUCACUUGCAUGAAUGUAGAUGUGGAGUACUUGAUCAUAAGAUCCAUUUUAUGGCAGAAGACAUUAUUUUUCUGAGCCUUCUGCUGUUGGUUUCUAAAUAAGCAGGCCAGCCGGGCUGUGCACCUAAAUGUCUGUCUGGGAGGAGCAGGCUGAGAAGUCUUGCAGUCUGCAGGACACCGAGGAAUCGUAUGUGGGAACGUCCCCGAGAACCACACGAGCGUGCUGCUCAGUGCUGACUGCAGAAUGAAAUAGAAGCAAAGUGUUACAGGAUCAGUGUUUUCUUUUCUAAAACAUCAAAAUGCCAAAGAUUAAUCUGUGAUUGGUGAUAACUGCCUCGUUUAAAUGGUCACAAGAAAUGUGAAGAGAGAGCUAGGGCAGACAUGCAGUGAAAUGGUUCUUUGUUAAAAAUGUGCAAUAAAAAUAGAUUACAAUAAGUAGUGCAAAGAACUUUACAGAAAUCAAGCGAAUUAGAAGGCCUGUAAGAGUAAGGUUUGCUAAAACGUGAAACACUGUAACACUUUUAACCACUGAGCAUUCCACAGUGAAAUGUUAUUUCUAUGCUCUUAUUUAAUGUAAUGUUUCUCCUGUCAUUUUUGAAGUUGAGUUUGGAGUAGAUUGGUUGCUUCUGAGAACACAUUCUGCCUUCCUGGGAAGUCGGGGUGUCAUCCUUUCCUCUGUUUGAUGUGAGGUAGUUUAAAGAUACAAGGACUUUGUGUGAAGCUCCAGCAUCUGUGCCCCUUGAAUUGCUUAGGUGCAGACAGUUCUAAAGCAAGGAGCUGCAGCAUUCUCAUCAUAGAUACGUGCAGUAUCUUUAAUGAGUAUCUUCAUGGUAUGAUAGUGUGUGUUUGUGAGUGCGAAGUACCAAUUAAGGUGUCUUAAAUUUGGCGCAUAGAGGAGAGAAGGAAACCUGAGGAGUAGUGUUCCUCCUGAAUGAAGGUUCAGGUCACCAGCCUUCUGUACACUGCCUUUGGUUUUAGCAGUUCUUUGAAAAGCAAACACUUUCAUGUCCUGUCUAUUCAUUCAGCUGGCUGUGCUGUGCUGUGGACCAGCUGUGUGGAUCUCUAGCCCAGCUACAGCAGAAUACAUUUUACCAGCAAACCUAAGGAUGACAAACACUAUCCACAUCUGAAAACUACCACACCAUAUCAGGGAUCAUAAAUUAUGCAUAUCUAUGAAUUUUCCAACAAAUUCCUACUUCCUGAUUGGAUUGGUUUUGCCGCUGAUGUUAAGGCAGCCAGCUUCUUAGUUCAAAAAGAAUUCUGAGUUUUUCAAACACUAGUCUAGAGGUGGACAUUGUCAGGGGUUCUGGAAUGGGACCAGGGGACCUUUUGGUGCAGUGGGUGCCUGUAACUCAUUAGACGUACUGAGGCAGCACUUCUGCAGGGUGCAUACCCUGAUUGUUGUCAUUUGUAACAGGUCACUUCCUUUUCACUCAGUUUAAAUUGGUGAUGGACGUUGCUUGAUUGAGCUUAUUACUCUCUAUUUUGAGAAGGUAGAAGGUAAGAGGGCCCAUAUUCAUUCUUUGCCAUGAAAUGAAUGAAUUAGGAAGAUUGUAUUUACUUAACUGUUUUUUAAAUACAUGUUUAAUGAAAUAAACUGUAAAAUAUCCAGUUUUGUGUAUUAUAUGUACAUUUGAUUUUUAAUAGCCUUUCCAAAGAAAUGAGGGCAUGAUUAUUGUACAGUAAGUACGUGACUGAUUUAAUUUGAUUUACAGAGCGGAGUGUGUUCUUAUAAAAAUAUUUAAUGACAUUGGUUCUUGUCUUUUGAUCUUUUAUUUCUGAAACACUCAAACACCUUACAAAGUGCUGAGUAGGUAAUAGUGACCCAACUUGUUUGCUAAAUGAUUAUUUGUUUAAAUCUGUACAGUUUUAAGUGUUCACUUAUACAAAGAGUGUAUAUACUUUCAAAUAAUUUAAAAUGCUUUAUAUUAUUUGGCUAGAAAUUGCUGUUUUUAAUAAAUGUGAAUUUUUUAAAAAUAAAGAUUUUUGCUUCCUACCUUGUCCUCACGUGUCUGAUACGUGUGUGCAUUCCUUGAGGAAAAUUUCUUUAAUUAAAAUUUUAAUUGAGAUAA